rnacentral:rRNA from 1 species
GACGAACGCUGGCGGCGUGCCUAACACAUGCAAGUCGAGCGAAUAAAGUUCCUUCGGGAACGGAUUUAGCGGCGGACGGGUGAGUAACACGUGGGCAACCCGCCUCAUAGAGGGGAAUAGCCUUCCGAGAGGGAGAUUAAUACCGCAUAAGAUUGUAGUAUCGCAUGGUACAGCAAUUAAAGGAGCAAUCCGCUAUGAGAUGGGCCCGCGGCGCAUUAGCUAGUUGGUGAGGUAACGGCUCACCAAGGCGACGAUGCGUAGCCGACCUGAGAGGGUGAUCGGCCACAUUGGGACUGAGACACGGCCCAGACUCCUACGGGAGGCAGCAGUGGGGAAUAUUGCACAAUGGGGGAAACCCUGAUGCAGCAACGCCGCGUGAGUGAUGACGGCCUUCGGGUUGUAAAGCUCUGUCUUCAGGGACGAUAAUGACGGUACCUGAGGAGGAAGCCACGGCUAACUUCGUGCCAGCCGCCGCGGUAA